rnacentral:misc_RNA from 1 species
GGUUAUUUUUCAAUUGCUAGGACAAAGAGUGUAUGAAAUAAAUUUGUGUGAGGAGUGGGUCAUGUGAUCUGUAGCUCCCAAGUCAAUGAUCCAAGAGUUUUGAGGAGAUAUUAUCCGAAGUAUAGACAAUAUGACAAGAUUGAGAAGAAAUACCUGAGACCAGCUUUUGUAAUGUUUCUAAUAGAUCCCUUAAUUUCUCAAUCUCUUCUUUGUUGAAAUCAGCAUGUGGAGGGUCCUCACUACUUGAAUGUGUGUUUGCCAUAUGUGCCUGUCCUUGUCCUUUUGAUUGUCCACCCUUCUCUGACCAUGUUUUAUUCAUGGCCUGAGGCUUGCCAUGGAGCUUUCAACACUUCUUAGUAUGAAGAGAUUUUUUGCACCACAGAGUCCUUGCUAAAUGGUUUUGACAAGUCUUUUUGCCCACUACCCUCACAAUUCUUCGUAGUAGUGUUCUUAGACACCAAAGCAGAGCUUUC